CUACUUGUAUGUUUUUCUUACAUGGAUAACCGUGGGAACUAGGGCUAAUACAUGCAGUAACCUUCGGGUUGUUAUUUUAUUAGUUUCAAAUCAAUGUCAUUUGAGGAAUCAUAGUAACUGAUCGAAGCGAAUCUUUCGCUAAAUCAUUCGAGUUUCUGCCCUAUCAGCUCUCGAUGGUAGUGUAUUGGACUACCAUGGCGGUAACGGGUUACGGAGAAUUGGGGUUCGAUUCCGGAGAGGGAGCCUGAGAAACGGCUACCAUUUCUAUGGAAGGCAGCAGGCGCGUAAAUUACCCAAUCCUGACUAAGGGAGGUAGUUAAUAGAAAUAACAGGUUCGUGGUUUUUACCAUCGGACAUGUAAUGAACGCUAUGUAGAUAAAAGCGUGAAUCUAUUGGAGGGCAAGUCUGGUGCCAGCAGCCGCGGUAAUUCCAGCUCCAAUAGCGUAUACUAAUGUUGUUGCAGUUAAAAAGCUCGUAGUUGAAAUUCGGCGCUUCUGCGUCUGUCCGCAAGGUAUCCCGAUCUCUCAA
rnacentral:rRNA from 1 species